UACGGGGGGAGCAAGCGUUGUUCGGAUUUACUGGGCGUAAAGGGCGCGUAGGCGGCCACCGCAAGUCGGUUGUGAAAUCUCCGGGCUUAACCCGGAAAGGUCAAUCGAUACUGCGGGGCUAGAGUGCAGAAGGGGCAACUGGAAUUCUCGGUGUAGCGGUGAAAUGCGUAGAUAUCGAGAGGAACACCUGCGGCGAAGGCGGGUUGCUGGGCUGACACUGACGCUGAGAGCGCGAAAGCUAGGGGAGCGAACGGG
rnacentral:rRNA from 1 species